rnacentral:rRNA from 1 species
UGAACGCUGGCGGCGUGCUUAACACAUGCAAGUCGAACGAGAACGAGGGCUUCGGUCCUUUAGUAGAGUGGCGCACGGGUGAGUAACACGUGGGUAAUCUACCCUUGAAUUUGGGAUAACAUCGCGAAAGCGGUGCUAAUACCGGAUAAUGUCAAUGAGGCUUCGGUUUUAUUGAUCAAAGAUGGCCUCUAUUUAUAAGCUAUUGUUUGGGGAUGAGCCUGCGUACCAUUAGCUUGUUGGUGGGGUAAAGGCCUACCAAGGCUACGAUGGUUAGCUGGUCUGAGAGGAUGAUCAGCCACACUGGAACUGACACACGGUCCAGACUCCUACGGGAGGCAGCAGUGAGGAAUUUUGCGCAAUGGGGGAAACCCUGACGCAGCAACGCCGCGUGAGUGAUGAAGGCUUUUGGGUCGUAAAACUCUGUCAGCAGGGAAGAAAUUAUAUAUAGUUAAUACCUAUAUGUAUUGACGGUACCUGCAAAGGAAGCACCGGCUAACUCC